rnacentral:rRNA from 1 species
GUGAAAUUGUUGAAAGGGAAACGCUUGAAGUCAGUCGUGUCUGCCAGGACUCAGCCUUGCUCCCCCGCUCGGUGUACUUUCUGGUCGGAUGGGCCAACAUCAAUUUUAACCGUCGGAGAAAGGCUUUGGGAACGUAGCACCUCCGGGUGUGUUAUAGCCCUUUGUCGUAUACGACGGUCGAGAUUGAGGACUGCAGCACGCCUUUAUGGCCGGGGCUCGCCCACGUACGUGCUUAGGAUGUUGGCGUAAUGGCCUUAAGCGACCCGUCUUGAAACACGGACCAAGGAGUCUAACAUGCCUGCGAGUGUUUGGGUGGAAAACCCAUGCGCGUAAUGAAAGUGACAGCUGAGAUCCUCUCAUCAGGAGCAUCAGCGCCUGGACUCGAUCUACGGAGACGGUUCUACGGUAGAGCAUGUAUGUUGGGACCCGAAAGAUGGUGAACUAUGCCUGAAUAGGGUGAAGCCAGAGGAAACUCUGGUGGAGGCUCGUAGCGAUUCUGACGUGCAAAUCGAUCGUCAAAUUUGGGUAUAGGGGCGAAAGACUAAUCGAACCAUCUAGUAGCCGGUUCCUGCCGAAGUUUCCCUCAGGAUAGCAGAAACUCGUAUCAGAUUUAUGUGGUAAAGCGAAUGAUUAGAGGCCUUGGGGUUGAAACAACCUUAACCUAUUCUCAAACUUUAAAUAUGUAAGAACAAGCCGUCACUUGGUUGGACCGCUUGGCGAUUGAGAGUUUCUAGUGGGCCAUUUUUGGUAAGCAGAACUGGCGAUGCGGGAUGAACCGAACGUGAGGUUAAGGUGCCGGAAUGCACGCUCA